AUUAUAAUGGCAGAUUAAUGCGAAGAAGUUAAGUUUCUUAGAUGAAUUAUUUUCUUAUAAUA
rnacentral:tRNA from 1 species